rnacentral:lncRNA from 1 species
GCGAGCUGCCUCCUCUUUCCUCAAGACUCUCUCCUUCUUCAGCUCAGGACUCCAGAAAGUCUUGAUGCUGUUCAUGGAAGACCCCAGUUUGCUGUCCUUAAUGUCAAGCUCCUUGCGUAGGAGGUCAUUCUCUCUCUGCAGCUCUUUGAGCUGGGCUUGAAGAUCCAACAUCGUGCUGUCUCUUACCUGCCUCAACAUGGAGGGCACCUGGUGGUGGUGGUGGUGGGAUGAGCCGCUCAGCCCUCCAUGUUGAUCCGUAUAGGAAAGGACAUCCGUGUGGGAAAGUCCAGCGGAAGCAAUGUUGGGACUACUCCCCAUGGCUGUGACCCGGCCUCCAUACACCGCUCGAUUUGUCGCCCUGCCCAGAGUCAUGGUUCCCUUUGGGUAAGUUGUCGAUGCCACCCCUUCAUGGUCACUCAAGUACAUGGGUCCAGACGUAGCAUAGGCUGCAUUAAGGGACUGGAUAUUCUCCAUAGACAGAGUCUUGCCUGUCCCUCCCCCUCCCCCACUGCUUGUUCUUCGGUGGCCCAAACGAGGAGACCUUGGCAGACGUGGUGACCUGGAAGGGCUGCCUUCCAGAUUGCUGAUUGUUCUUGCGCUCCCGUACAUUUUUCUUCUGUGAUGUGGUGCUACUGAAGAGAAGAAAUGCUAGGCCACGUGAGGGCUUAAGCCAAUGUUCCCUUCACAGACUAGAAUUCUCAGCACAUUCUUUGUGAAGUCUGUACCAGGAAAUGACUCCACUCAGAGUUGCUUCUAAGCCCAUUGUCGAGGAGUUGGCUUCCCG